AAAAGAAAUUGUAUAAUAAUGGUAAGGUUUAUAGUUGAGAUACAGCGUUUUUACAAAGAAAUUUUUCCUUGUAGGUUCAAGGAUAAAACAAAAUUUGAGCUUUUUUGAAUCUUUCUUGGAGCACCUCCUUUGAUCCCUCCCUUCAUUGUUUUCCCCUUAAUCUCUUAGUUAACACAGACCAUUGUUUUUCCAAUGUCUUUUCUGUUUACAGAAACCACAACUAUCUUUAUAAAAAUACUUCCUCUGCCAAUGGAUAAGGACUGGGGCACAGGAAUUUUGAUUUGUUGAACCUGGAACAACCUCCAUAAAAAUCAACUCAGAUUCUGACUACCUUCCUCACCUCCUGGUCAGUGAAUUUGGCUGUCUCCAGAAAAGAUCAUCUCUCAACUGCUCCUUGGGUAAUGACCAGGAUGAAAGGGAUAUGUGUUUACACGAACCAAUUUUGAAAAUCUAGUAUUCAACCCUGAUCUCUGGGCAUACUUCUUUCUUUCCCUAAUGGCAACCCAGGCUAGCCUGAUUUGUACAACUCCCAUGUGGCCCCACCAAGAGGGCCUAGGGCACUGAGUCUUAUUCUAGUUCAGCCACCUGGAUUCUCUCAUUAGAUCUCUCAUUAGAUCAACAGAGUCCUACAUCAUAAGAAUAAUAGCCACCUUAUUAAAUACACAAAGUCCUUGUACAGUGGCCCACAUGGACCAAAGUUGGGGAUAUACAGUAACUGUGAUUUUUCUAAAAAUCCAUUGUCCAUCUUGUAACUGACCCUUCCUGACAAGAUCCACAUGCAUCAGGGGAUGAUUGGGGGAGGUGAACAGUGAAGUUAUAGCUACUAGCAUGGCUCACAUUGAUUUUGUUGUGGUGGGGGAAGGAUAAUACCUCGGCCCUUAGGCGGGACCAUGUCACAUUACAAAGAUCUGAUGGAGAAGGGCUACCCCUUCUAAGGAUCUUUAGAAUCAAUGCUGGGGCCUUUCUCACAAAGAAAAAUUCCCUGAUUGAAUAAGGGUUAGGAUUUCAACACAGACAUUUGGGAGUGGGGCAGGGACACAAAUAUUCAGACUAUAGCAUGGCUCAUAACCAGGGCUAUAUAUGUGCAUUCUCAAGGAUACAGUUUAUUCUCUAGAGGAAAAAGAAGAAAGAACUUUUGAACAUAAAAAUAAAAAUCCCUGAGUUGUUAGAUUAGCA
rnacentral:lncRNA from 12 species